UACGGAGGGUGCAAGCGUUAUCCGGAUUUACUGGGUUUAAAGGGUGCGUAGGUGGUGAGGUAAGUCGGAUGUGAAAUCUCCGGGCUCAACCCGGAAAUGGCAUUGGAAACUACCUUGCUGGAGGAUUUGAGGGGGGAUUGGAAUACUUGGUGUAGCAGUGAAAUGCGUAGAUAUCAAGUGGAACACCAGUGGCGAAGGCGAAUCCCUGGAAAAUACCUGACACUGAGGCACGAAAGCUAGGGGAGCAAACAGG
rnacentral:rRNA from 1 species